rnacentral:misc_RNA from 1 species
CAAAGUUCAAGGAAGCUCACCGAUUACUUUCUUACAUCACGGCUUUUUCUGACAGCGUGUUAUUACAAAAGGCACGAGAAUGCCCAACUCUGCGGCUUCCGAUGUAAAGGCGCAGUUAAUCACGACAAGCAGCCCUGAAGAACAAUUUUUUCAUCAGCUGUUUCCAGAGAUAAAUCAGCGUGAAAAACUGGUCCAGUCGUGCAACUGUGGCCUGAUACGUCGGAAACUCGUGCGGAUGGGGAGGAUGUACGUGACACCUCUGCGGAUUUGCUUCACAUCGUCGUUCAUUGAAGAGCCUGUCAUUAUUCUCUUGGAAAAUGUCCUUACAUUGGAGAGGAAAACGAGCUUUGUCUGCGACACCAUUGUCUUAGUCACAAAGGCACGAGUGGAGCACGAUUUCACAGCUUUCAUCUCGACGGGGGUGACCCAAAUGUACAACUUAUUGAAGACUCUGUGGUCUGUUCGCGAGAAGUACGCUGCGGAUAGGGCUGCCUCCCUUUACCCUGAACCUGAAUCUGACGCUUCGUCCUCGGCUGGCCUUGUAAGUAGACCUACGAGUCGAACCAGCUCAGUCGCCAAUCGCGGUGGUGCCGAGGCAAGAGACAAUCAGUCCCAAGACUCACAGCCCCUGUCACCCAUCAAUCACCAGUACACGAACGGUAAGCAAGACUCCGACGUGUGUACCGAGCGCGACCGAGUUACCGCUUCCUUAUCCGCUUCGCAAGUGGGUACUCCGGCUGUGGUAGAAAAACAGAUCACUAGUGGGUUGUCGCAGGAGAGAAGCUCGUUGCAAAUUCGAAAAAAUAGACUUCAGGAAGUUAGCAACGACGUCCGCCUCGUGACAAUUUCAGAAUUCCGGCGCUUUUUUCCGUCGCUUCCUCAGACAGAAACAGUCAAGGACUCGUUCACGUGCUGCUACCAAUUCGGCGCCAGCCGGCUGGGAAAAAUGUGGGUUACUCAGAACUUCAUUCUCUUUGUUUCUCCGAUGAUGGAUUCAAGAAUAGAGAUCAAGUUCUGUGACGUGGAAAAAAUCGAAAAGGAGCAGAAGCUUGUCCUACUCGAUGGCUUUUACGUGCAGCUCAAAUCUGGCGUCUCGAUGAGCUUCUCAAACUUUACGAGCCGUGAUGCUGCCUUGAAUGUGAUCGAGUCCACGUUUCAAGCCUCAAAGGCCCAGCAGAAGGAGACGGCGGAAGACUCUGGGGUCUCAGGCCCACUUGUCUUCAAAACAACGACGAGCGAAAACGAUGAAGGCAAGAUGCCCGCUGUGGCGUCGAUGGACGCGUUCUCGCAGGUGGAGACGGAUUAUGGCAGCGCGCUUAGCGACUUCUCAUGCUUCGGGAAGGAGUUGAUGACACCCGUGAAGCUGUGCACCGGGAAGGGGGUCCUCGACGUGUUCGGCGUGUGCUUCGACGACGGCACUGCUGUGCUGGAGGACUACCACACAGAGCGGAAGGACACGGACCAGAAGUGGGAGCCGUGGCGGCCAACAAAGGACGGAGGUGCGUUCCGGGGCCAGCGCCAGUUCACGUGCACGACGCUGGUGAAGGCGAUGAUGGGGAAGCCGUACGCGUACAUCGAGUACCAGCGCUACGCUCUAUUCAAGGUGAGCGGUGCGCCGACGCUCGCGGUGCAGUUCUCAAGCCAGGUACCCGGUGUGCUGUUUGGUGAUGCAUUCCGCGCGGAGGCGCUUGUGACAUUCACGCAGGCCGGCAGCGGUGCGUCGGCCGAGGUGACGAUGCGUGCGUUCGGGUACGUGCAGUUCCUGAAGAGCGUGUGGGUGAAGGGCCGCAUCUUGGCCACCGCGAUGAACACGGAGCUCCCCGAUGGGUACAAGACUCUUGCCAAUAUGAUUUGCAGGCGCCUUGAAAGUCAUCAAAGCGGAUGCGGGCCUCAACCCAAUGCAGGUGACAGCGAGGCGAGGAAAGAGGACGGCGAGCAAGCAGCUCCGUCGUCGCCGGAGUGCAAACCAUAUGUCCCUGUGCUCUUCAAAGUGUGGCUAUUGGAGGGGUUCAUCGCGAAUGUUACCGUUCUCGCGCUCUCUGCGGUGUGCUUUUCUGUUUCGCUUUUUUUCUGCCUUACCAUGAGUUUCUUCUCCAUAGGGGCCUUCAACCAGAGAGGCGUGUUGCAGUCUCUCACGUCACCAUUGACUGCUGUGGUUACUGCGGUGGUGUGCUUUGUGAGCUUUCAGAUCGGCAUCACCGCGUUUGUGUCCCUUUAACGCGCACGCCGAGAAGCAAAGACCGAGCGGACCUUCUGUUGCUGGGAUCAGUAGGACUCUCAGCUACUUAGUGCCUGUCUCGUAGCGAAAAGGGCGGCGCCAUUUUGGAAACAGGAUGUCAAUGUUUCACCUACGAGCUGUUUGCGCGUAAGGGUGUCUCUCUAUGGCGCUGGUGGUUGAUACGGACCGUGUGCUCUAUAAUGCGCUGAGGUGGUGGGGGCUUUUUUUUUGGACUCUUUUGCUCCACGCCCCCCCCCUCAACCCCCUUUUGCUGCUUCCAUUGUUGCUUGUGUGCAUUAUUGAACUCAAGGGAUGCGGUAUAGUUUUUAGGUGCGUGUGACGCUGAGUCACCAGAGGUGCCGUCUGCAGCGCGGCUUUACGGCACACGGGCGUAGUGAGUGCGGGAAGAAGGCGCUGUGGAUGGGUGUGGCAAGGAUGCCAUCCUUGUGUCGUCUUUCUCUUCUUGCCACCAAAUGCCUUUUCUCCCUUGAUGCCAAUUAUCGUCUUUACGGUCUACUCCGCUAUCCUCCUUUUGCUGCUGUUUGAUGUCCGUCGUGUUUUGCAAG